UAGUUUGAUGAACUCCACUGAAAUCUCC
rnacentral:piRNA from 1 species